rnacentral:rRNA from 1 species
UGCUAGUCGUACGCUGAUGCCUGCGAUGCUUGCUCGCUGGGUGGAUGAGUGGCGAACGGGUGAGUAACACGUGAGUAACCUGCCCCCGACUUCGGGAUAAGCCCGGGAAACUGGGUCUAAUACCGGAUAUGACAACCGAAGGCAUCUUUGGUUGUGGAAAGUUUUUUCGGUUGGGGAUGGGCUCGCGGCCUAUCAGUUUGUUGGUGAGGUAAUGGCUCACCAAGACGACGACGGGUAGCCGGCCUGAGAGGGCGACCGGCCACACUGGGACUGAGACACGGCCCAGACUCCUACGGGAGGCAGCAGUGGGGAAUAUUGCACAAUGGGGGAAACCCUGAUGCAGCGACGCAGCGUGCGGGAUGACGGCCUUCGGGUUGUAAACCGCUUUCAGCAGGGAAGAAGCCCYUUGCGGUGACGGUACCUGCAGAAGAAGUACCGGCUAACUACGUGCCAGCAGCCGCGGUAAUACGUAGGGUACAAGCGUUGUCCGGAAUUAUUGGGCGUAAAGAGCUCGUAAGUGGUUGGUCACGUCUGCUGUGGAAACGCAACGCUUAACGUUGCGCGUGCAGUGGGUACGGGCUGACUAGAGUGCAGUAAGGGAGUCUGGAAUUCCUGGUGUAGCGGUGAAAUGCGCAGAUAUCAGGAGGAACACCGGUGGCGAAGGCGGGACUCUGGGCUGUAACUGACACUGAGGAGCGAAAGCAUGGGGAGCGAACAGGAUUAGAUACCCUGGUAGUCCAUGCCGUAAACGUUGGGCACUAGGUGUGGGGGACAUUCCACGUUCUCCGCGCCGUAGCUAACGCAUUAAGUGCCCCGCCUGGGGAGUACGGUCGCAAGGCUAAAACUCAAAGGAAUUGACGG